rnacentral:piRNA from 1 species
UUCCUAACAAUACCACAGAGAUUCAAGGGA